rnacentral:rRNA from 1 species
AGCGGCGGACGGGUGAGUAAUGCUUAGGAAUCUGCCAUUUAGUGGGGGACAACAUUCCGAAAGGAAUGCUAAUACCGCAUACGUCCUACGGGAGAAAGCAGGGGAUCUUCGGACCUUGCGCUAAAUGAUGAGCCUAAGUCGGAUUAGCUAGUUGGUGGGGUAAAGGCCUACCAAGGCGACGAUCUGUAGCGGGUCUGAGAGGAUGAUCCGCCACACUGGGACUGAGACACGGCCCAGACUCCUACGGGAGGCAGCAGUGGGGAAUAUUGGACAAUGGGCGGAAGCCUGAUCCAGCCAUGCCGCGUGUGUGAAGAAGGCCUUUUGGUUGUAAAGCACUUUAAGCGAGGAGGAGGCUACCUGGAUUAAUACUCUGGGAUAGUGGACGUUACUCGCAGAAUAAGCACCGGCUAACUCUGUGCCAGCAGCCGCGGUAAUACAGAGGGUGCGAGCGUUAAUCGGAUUUACUGGGCGUAAAGCGUGCGUAGGCGGCUUUUUAAGUCGGAUGUGAAAUCCCCGAGCUUAACUUGGGAAUUGCAUUCGAUACUGGGAAGCUAGAGUAUGGGAGAGGAUGGUAGAAUUCCAGGUGUAGCGGUGAAAUGCGUAGAGAUCUGGAGGAAUACCGAUGGCGAAGGCAGCCAUCUGGCCUAAUACUGACGCUGAGGUACGAAAGCAUGGGGAGCAAACAGGAUUAGAUACCCUGGUAGUCCAUGCCGUAAACGAUGUCUACUAGCCGCUGGGGCCUUUGAGGCUUUAGUGGCGCAGCUAACGCGAUAA